GGUUCGAUCAUGGCUCAGAUUGAACGCUAUGGGAUGUCGGCACGUGUCGAACGGCAGCACGGACUUCGGUCUGGUGGCGAGUGGCGAACGGGUGAGUAAUGUAUCGGAACGUGCCUAGUAGCGGGGAUAACUACGCGAGGUUACACACGUAUUACGCCCUUCGGGGAAAGCGGGGACCUUCGGGCCUCGCACUAUUAGAGCGGGCCGAUAUCGGAUUAGCUAGUUGGUGGGGUAACGGCUCACCAAGGCGACGAUCUGCAGCUGGUUUGAGAGGACGACUGUUCGCUUACCGUAUUCACGGAGAUACGGCCCAGACUCCGCGCUGGAGGCAGGGGAAUUUUGGACAAUGGGGGAAACCCUGAUCCAGCCAUCCUGCAGGCGAUGAAGGCCUGGGUUGUAAAGCACUUUUGGCAGGAAAGAAACGGCACGGAUAAUACCCCGCAACUGAUUUGUACCUGCAGAAUAAGCACCGGCUAACUACGUGCCAGCAGCCGCGGUAAUACGUAGGGUGCAAGCGUUAACGGGAACACGGCGCGAAGCGUGCGCAGGCGGUUCGGAAAGAAAGAUGUGGAAAUCCCAGAGCUUAACUUUGGAACUGCAUUUUUAACUACCGAGCUAGAGUGUGUCGAGGAGGUGAAUUCGCGUGUAGCAGUGAAAUGCGUAUAUGCGGAGGAACACCGAUGGCGAAGGCAGCCUCCUGGGAUAACACUGACGUCACGCACGAGCGUGGGAGCAAAUAUGAUUAGAUAUUCCGGGUAGUUCACGCCCUUAAACGAUGUCAACUAGCUGUUGGGCCUUCGGCCCUGGUAGCGCAGCUAACGCGGUUAACCGUCUGGGGAGUACGGUCGCAAGAUUAAACUCAAAGGAAUUCGACGGGGACUAUUGCUGGUGGAUGAUGUGGAUUAAUUGAUGCAACGCGAAAAAACCUACCUACCCUUGACAUGUUCGGGAAUCCGAAGAGAUUUGGGAGCGUCGCAAGAGAACCGAACACAGUGCCAGAUGCAUUGCCGUCAGUUCGUGUCGUGGAGAUGCCGGGGUUAAGUCCCGCAACGAGCGCAACCCUUGUCAUUAGUUGCUACGAAAGGGCACUCUAAUGAGACUGUCGGUGACAAACCGGAGGAAGGUGGGGAUGACGUCAAGUCCUCAUGGCCCUUAUGGGUAGGGCUUCACACGUCAUACAAUGGUCGGGACAGAGGGUCGCCAACCCGCGAGGGUUAAUCCCAGAAACCCGAUCGUAGGGGUCCGGAUCGCAGUCUGCAACCUGACUGCGUGAAGUCGGAAUCGCUAGUAAUCAGGAUCAGCAUGUCGCGGUGAAUACGUUCCCGGGUCUUGUACACACCGCCUGUCACACCAUGUGGAGUGGGUUUUACCAGAAGUAGUUAGCCUAACCGUAAGGAGGGCGAUUACCAGGUAGGAUUCAUGACUGGGGUGAAGUCGUAACAAGGUAA
rnacentral:rRNA from 1 species